rnacentral:rRNA from 1 species
UUGAAAGGGAAACGAUUGAAGUCAGUCAUGCCUGUGGGAAUCAACUUAGAGGAAACUCUGAGUGCACUUCUUCGCUUGGCAGGUCAACGUCGAUUUUGGAUGUCAUAGGUUAAUUGGGGGAAGGUAGCUCCUUCGGGAGUGUUAUAGCCCUUGGUAGAUGUGAUGUCUGGGAUGGAGGAUUGCAAUGGAUACCCUUUGGAGCUAGCCGUCUGAUCUCUAAUUGGUAUUGGGUUACGGAUAGCAUGCUGACGGUGAUCUAAUUAUUGGUUAAAAGGUUAGAGCGUGCAUAAAUUCGUUAAGGAUGUUGACGUA